AUUGAACGCUGGCGGCAGGCCUAACACAUGCAAGUCGAACGGUAACGGGAAGCAGCUUGCUGCUUUGCUGACGAGUGGCGGACGGGUGAGUAAUGUCUGGGAAACUGCCUGAUGGAGGGGGAUAACUACUGGAAACGGUAGCUAAUACCGCAUAACGUCGCAAGACCAAAGAGGGGGACCUUCGGGCCUCUUGCCAUCGGAUGUGCCCAGAUGGGAUUAGCUAGUAGGUGGGGUAACGGCUCACCUAGGCGACGAUCCCUAGCUGGUCUGAGAGGAUGACCAGCCACACUGGAACUGAGACACGGUCCAGACUCCUACGGGAGGCAGCAGUGGGGAAUAUUGCACAAUGGGCGCAAGCCUGAUGCAGCCAUGCCGCGUGUAUGAAGAAGGCCUUCGGGUUGUAAAGUACUUUCAGCGGGGAGGAAGGGAGUAAAGUUAAUACCUUUGCUCAUUGACGUUACCCGCAGAAGAAGCACCGGCUAACUCCGUG
rnacentral:rRNA from 1 species